rnacentral:rRNA from 1 species
CGCCUUGCCAGCCCGCUCAGAAACUUAAAGGAAGUUGACGGGGGCCCGGCACAAGCGGUGGAGUAUGUGGUUUAAUUCGAUGCAACGCGAAGAACCUUACCUGGUCUUGACAUCCCGGAGACCCUUAGGAAACUAGGGGUGCUUCCAUCUGGAAGAAUCUGGAGACAGGUGCUGCAUGGCUGUCGUCAGCUCGUGUCGUGAGAUGUUGGGUUAAGUCCCGCAACGAGCGUAACCCUUGCCUUUAGUUGCCAGCAGUUCGGCUGGGCACUCUAAAGGGACUGCCGGUGUUAAACCGGAGGAAGGUGGGGAUGACGUCAAGUCCUCAUGGCCUUUAUGACCAGGGCUACACACGUACUACAAUGGCCGAUACAAAGGGCAGCGACACUGCGAGGUGAAGCCAAUCCCGUAAAAUCGGUCUCAGUCCGGAUUGGAGUCUGCAACUCGACUCCAUGAAGUUGGAAUCGCUAGUAAUCGUGGAUCAGCAUGCCACGGUGAAUACGUUCCCGGGCCUU